AACGAACGCUGGCGGCAGGCUUAACACAUGCAAGUCGAACGGAUCCUUCGGGAUUAGUGGCAGACGGGUGAGUAACGCGUGGGAACGUACCCUUUGCUACGGAAUAACUCAGGGAAACUUGAGCUAAUACCGUAUGUGCCCUACGGGGGAAAGAUUUAUCGGCAAAGGAUCGGCCCGCGUUGGAUUAGCUAGUUGGUGGGGUAAUGGCCUACCAAGGCGACGAUCCAUAGCUGGUCUGAGAGGAUGAUCAGCCACACUGGGGCUGAGACACGGCCCAGACUCCUACGGGAGGCAGCAGUGGGGAAUAUUGGACAAUGGGCGCAAGCCUGAUCCAGCCAUGCCGCGUGAGUGAUGAAGGUCUUAGGAUUGUAAAGCUCUUUCACCGGUGAAGAUAGUGACGGUAGCCGGAGAAGAAGCCCCGGCUAACUUCGUG
rnacentral:rRNA from 1 species